UACGUAGGGUGCAAGCGUUAUCCGGAAUUAUUGGGCGUAAAGAGCUCGUAGGCGGUCUGUCGCGUCUGCUGUGAAAUCUGGGGGCUCAACCCCCAGCCUGCAGUGGGUACGGGCAGACUAGAGUGCGGUAGGGGAGAUUGGAACUCCUGGUGUAGCGGUGGAAUGCGCAGAUAUCAGGAAGAACACCGAUGGCGAAGGCAGAUCUCUGGGCCGUAACUGACGCUGAGGAAGCGGAAAGCAUGGGGAGCGAACAGG
rnacentral:rRNA from 1 species